UACGUAGGGUGCGAGCGUUAAUCGGAAUUACUGGGCGUAAAGCGUGCGCAGGCUGUUUUGUAAGUCAGAUGUGAAAUCCCCGAGCUCAACUUGGGAACUGCGUUUGAAACUACAAGACUAGAAUAUGUCAGAGGGGGGUAGAAUUCCACGUGUAGCAGUGAAAUGCGUAGAGAUGUGGAGGAAUACCAAUGGCGAAGGCAGCCCCCUGGGAUAAUAUUGACGCUCAUGCACGAAAGACGUGGGG
rnacentral:rRNA from 1 species